AUUGAACGCUGGCGGCAUGCCUUACACAUGCAAGUCGAACGUGAAAGCGGGGCAACCCGCAAGUAGAGUGGCGGACGGGUGAGUAAUACAUCGGAACGUGUCCAGUAAUGGGGGAUAACCUAGCGAAAGUUAGGCUAAUACCGCAUACGAUCUGCGGAUGAAAGCGGGGGAUGCGGCACUAAAGGCUUUUGGCGAAGGUGGCCAAAGGUGAGUCAAGAGCUUUUAGUGCNGCACCUCGCGUUAUUGGAGCGGCUGAUGUCUGAUUAGCUAGUUGGUGAGGUAAAGGCUUACCAAGGCGACGAUCAGUAGCUGGUCUGAGAGGACGGCCAGCCACACUGGGACUGAGACACGGCCCAGACUCC
rnacentral:rRNA from 1 species